rnacentral:rRNA from 1 species
UCUCAGUUCGGAUUGGAGUCUGCAACUCGACUCCAUGAAGCUGGAUUCGCUAGUAAUCGCGCAUCAGCCAUGGCGCGGUGAAUACGUUCCCGGGCCUUGUACACACCGCCCGUCAAGCCAUGGGAGCCGGGGGUACCUGAAGUGCGUGACCGCAAGGAGCGCCCUAAGGUAAAACCGGUGACUGGGGCUAAGUCGUAACAAGGUACC